rnacentral:rRNA from 1 species
UACGGAGGGGGCUAGCGUUGUUCGGAAUUACUGGGCGUAAAGCGCACGUAGGCGGCUUUGUAAGUUAGAGGUGAAAGCCCGGAGCUCAACUCCGGAACUGCCUUUAAGACUGCAUCGCUUGAACGUCGGAGAGGUAAGUGGAAUUCCGAGUGUAGAGGUGAAAUUCGUAGAUAUUCGGAAGAACACCAGUGGCGAAGGCGCCUUACUGGACGACUGUUGACGCUGAGGUGCGAAAGCGUGGGGAGCAAACAGG